UUUGUUUAUCAAUAUUAUAUUUGCGGAGACGCUGUACAAUUAGGAGUGGGGCUAUAUAGAAUAAGUAGUUAUUUCAGAAUGUAGAUACCUAUUGUAUAGUAUAAACAGAGAUAGGUAAUUGCUGAAAAGGUGGUUCAGCAGGUAGAACAGAUGAAUAGUCAAGAAAAGUAGUUAUCAUCUAUAGUAUAGGAGUUGGUAUCUUGGAAUAGUAUAAGGAACAUGGGAGAGAGGAAGAAAAUGCAUGACUGUGAUAGUCAUGAGUCGGGGUAUCAGACUACAAUAACAUUGAGCUGGGAUAAGCUUGGUGCUAUUUCUUCUUCUUAGUUUUCUUGUUUCUUUUGUGUUAGUAUUGAUUCUAGUGAAAAGAAUCGAUUUAAUGAAUCAAUAUUUGAUUUACAAAGUUAUUUAUGGAUCACUGUUUAUCAAUUGUUGUAAAAGAUUGAUGAUGUAUGGAAGUUUUCAGUCAUUGUUUAUCGCAAGGUUGUAAGUUCAAUAGAGAGGAAUUGUAAUCAAAAGAAUUGUCUCAAUCAGAUUCUAAGGAUUGAAAGUUUUUCGUUCCAAGGUUUGGAUUAUGCUUAUGUGUUCAUGAAUUAUACAGGGUAUUGAAAUUGAUGUCGUGGUUGUUAUUGUAUUGAUAUAAGAGAGUAGAUAAUAGGAGGAAAAGUUAAGUAUUCUUUGGUAUUGUAAGCAUUCAGCAGUAGCGGUU
rnacentral:lncRNA from 1 species